UACGAAGGGGGCUAGCGUUGUUCGGAAUUACUGGGCGUAAAGCGCGCGCAGGCGGUCUUCCAAGUCAGUGGUGAAAGCCCGGAGCUCAACUCCGGAACUGCCAUUGAAACUGUUGGACUUGAGUACGAGAGAGGUGAGUGGAAUUCCCAGUGUAGAGGUGAAAUUCGUAGAUAUUGGGAAGAACACCGGUGGCGAAGGCGGCUCACUGGCUCGUAACUGACGCUGCAGGCGCGACAGCGGUGGGGACAUCGAAACUAGG
rnacentral:rRNA from 1 species